GACGAACGCUGGCGGCGUGCUUAACACAUGCAAGUCGAACGGAAAGGCCCCUUCGGGGGUACUCGAGUGGCGAACGGGUGAGUAACACGUGAGUAACCUGCCCUUGACUUCGGGAUAACUUCAGGAAACUGGGGCUAAUACCGGAUAGGAAUCCUUGCUGCAUGGUGGGGGUUGGAAAGCUUCGGCGGUUUUGGAUGGACUCGCGGCUUAUCAGCUUGUUGGUGGGGUAGUGGCUUACCAAGGCUUUGACGGGUAGCCGGCCUGAGAGGGCGACCGGCCACAUUGGGGCUGGGAUACGGCCCAGACUCCUACGGGAGGCAGCAGUGGGGAAUAUUGCACAAUGGGCGGAAGCCUGAUGCAGCAACGCCGCGUGCGGGAUGACGGCCUUCGGGUUGUAAACCGCUUUCAGCAGGGGCGAAGCUUGUGGUGACGGUACCUGCAGAAGAAGCACCGGCUAACUACGUG
rnacentral:rRNA from 1 species